AUGCAGGCAGAAAUGAAAGCCAGCUCCUUAACAGUGAAGGAGUGCAGCUGGACGACAGAGGAGUGCCAUCUAGUGGAGGAGCAGGGUGUAGCUGUGGAGAUGGACACAUUUUGUUUACCAAAUAUUUUCAGGUCCAGAAAAGUGAAGCCACGCAGGAAGACUCCAGUCACCCAAACAUAUCAGGUUUACUAUACAGCCAGAGAGCUCUUUCUAGAGGUCCUGGACAGAGAAGCCAUCUGGGAGCUGAUUAGGAGAGCUCCUGGAGUGAAGGCUGGAGAACAGCGGCUGUCACACGGCAGAGAGCAGAGCAGCGUUCUCUCUGAGGAGUACGCCGAGGGACUCAUGUGGUUUUCUAUAGUCCUACAAAGUGGUUUGUGUGUUGGAGAGAACUGCAGGUUCAGCCCUGAGCCGACCCAGAAGUUGGACAAAUUACAGGGUCUUCUGAAGAGAAACAGCAUCCAGAAUAAAAUUUUGUCUCUGACCGGACUGGAAGAUGGAAACAAGUUGGAAGCCUUGUCUGCUUUCUGCAGCCACAUAUUCAAACGCUACCAGGUUCUGCACUCUCCCGGGCCGAACUUGACAGUGAAGAAAUACAAUCUUUACCACCAGCAGGGUCAGUGCUCUCUCCAGCUGGCUCUCCUCUCUGACACGCGCUCUGGAUUUGUCUGUAACAUGUUCUUGUACUGUCAGCAGCAGCUCCAGAAGCAGAGCAGGAAACCUGUAGUAGAGCAGGUUGUCAGGCAACUGCUGGGACCUUUCUGCAGCCAGAAAUGGGUGGUUCACAUAGAUUCCUCAGCCUGGAUGGACGGCAGACUCAAAAGCAUCUUCUCAGGAGGAGAUAUGAAUGUUCAUUUUGUCCCAGUGACUCAAAAGGAGAUGAGGAACCCAACAUCAUCUGAAUCUCUACCAAUCUCACCUCAGCGUCUAUCAUCUGAGGACACAUUUUCUGCCCACCUGCAGGGAUGGACUGGCCCCAGUCUGGUUCCCCAUUCAGACCUAACAGGAUCCUCUGUGGACAUAUUUCUCCCGGGCCUCUGGGUUGCACUGCAUACUGUCUGCAUCAACACCUAUGUGCUCCACACGCUGCAACGCCUGCAGCUUUCAGGUAGACACAUCCAGCUGACCGAGUUCAGCCGCGCUCUGGCCUCACAGCUGACUGCCGACCACAGCAUCAGCGUGCCGGUUCUGCCACGAUUGAACAGCUGCUCCUACCAGGAGUCAACACACCCCUGCAAGGAAAGGUGA
rnacentral:lncRNA from 1 species